rnacentral:rRNA from 1 species
CGGACGGGUGAGUAAUGUCUGGGAAACUGCCUGAUGGAGGGGGAUAACUACUGGAAACGGUAGCUAAUACCGCAUAACGUCGCAAGACCAAAGAGGGGGACCUUCGGGCCUCUUGCCAUCGGAUGUGCCCAGAUGGGAUUAGCUAGUAGGUGGGGUAACGGCUCACCUAGGCGACGAUCCCUAGCUGGUCUGAGAGGAUGACCAGCCACACUGGAACUGAGACACGGUCCAGACUCCUACGGGAGGCAGCAGUGGGGAAUAUUGCACAAUGGGCGCAAGCCUGAUGCAGCCAUGCCGCGUGUAUGAAGAAGGCCUUCGGGUUGUAAAGUACUUUCAGCGGGGAGGAAGGCGAUAAGGUUAAUAACCUUGUCGAUUGACGUUACCCGCAGAAGAAGCACCGGCUAACUCCGUGCCAGCAGCCGCGGUAAUACGGAGGGUGCAAGCGUUAAUCGGAAUUACUGGGCGUAAAGCGCACGCAGGCGGUCUGUCAAGUCGGAUGUGAAAUCCCCGGGCUCAACCUGGGAACUGCAUUCGAAACUGGCAGGCUAGAGUCUUGUAGAGGGGGGUAGAAUUCCAGGUGUAGCGGUGAAAUGCGUAGAGAUCUGGAGGAAUACCGGUGGCGAAGGCGGCCCCCUGGACAAAGACUGACGCUCAGGUGCGAAAGCGUGGGGAGCAAACAGGAUUACAUACCCUGGUAGUCCACGCCGUAAACGAUGUCGACUUGGAGGUUGUGCCCUUGAAGCGUGCCUUCCGGAGCUAACGCGUUAAGUCGACCGCCUGGGGAGUACGGCCGCAAGGUUAAAACUCAAAUGAAUUGACGGGGGCCCCCACAAGCGGUGGAGCAUGUGGUUUAAUUCGAUGCAACGCGAAGAACCUUACCUACUCUUGACAUCCAGAGAACUUUCCAGAGAUGGAUUGGUGCCUUCGGGAACUCUGAGACAGGUGCUGCAUGGCUGUCGUCAGCUCGUGUUGUGAAAUGUUGGGUUAAGUCCCGCAACGAGCGCAACCCUUAUCCUUUGUUGCCAGCGGUUAGGCCGGGAACUCAAAGGAGACUGCCAGUGAUAAACUGGAGGAAGGUGGGGAUGACGUCAAGUCAUCAUGGCCCUUACGAGUAGGGCUACACACGUGCUACAAUGGCGCAUACAAAGAGAAGCGACCUCGCGAGAGCAAGCGGACCUCAUAAAGUGCGUCGUAGUCCGGAUUGGAGUCUGCAACUCGACUCCAUGAAGUCGGAAUCGCUAGUAAUCGUGGAUCAGAAUGCCACGGUGAAUACGUUCCCGGGCCUUGUACACACCGCCCGUCACAC